rnacentral:misc_RNA from 1 species
GAUGAAGAACGUAGCGAAAUGCGAAAAGUAAUGUGAAUUGCAGAAUUCAGUGAACCAUCGAAUCUUUGAACGCACAUUGCGCCCGCUGGAACUCCGGCGGGCACGCCUGUCCGGGCGUCAUUUCAACCCUCAGGCCCCCCUUCGCGGGCGGGCCUGGUGUUGGGGCCCGGCCGCUACCCUGCGGCCGUCCCCUAAAUUCAGUGGCGGCCUCGCCGUGAUCCCUUGCGUAGUAAUGCACCUCGCACCGGAGAGCGCCGUGGCCACGCCGUAAAACCCCCAAUUUUCAAUGGUUGACCUCGGAUCAGGUGGGAAUACCCGCUGAACUUAAGCAUAUCAAUAAGCGGAGGA